rnacentral:rRNA from 1 species
UGCAGUCGAGGGGUAACAGAGAAGCUUGCUUCUGCUGACGACCGGCGCACGGGUGCGUAACGCGUAUGCAACCUACCUUAUACAGGAGAAUACCCCUUGGAAACGAGGAAUAAUGCUCCAUGGUAUCAUCACUUCGCAUGUUGAGAUGAUUAAAGAAUUUCGGUAUAAGAUGGGCAUGCGUCCCAUUAGCUUGUUGGUGAGGUAACGGCUCACCAAGGCUACGAUGGGUAGGGGGCCUGAGAGGGUGGUCCCCCACACUGGUACUGAGACACGGACCAGACUCCUACGGGAGGCAGCAGUGAGGAAUAUUGGUCAAUGGAGGCAACUCUGAACCAGCCAUGCCGCGUGAAGGAUGACGGCCCUAUGGGUUGUAAACUUCUUUUGAAUAGGAAGAAACUUAUCUACGUGUAGAUAACUGACGGUACUAUUAGAAUAAGGAUCGGCUAACUCCGUGCCAGCAGCCGCGGUAAUACGGAGGAUCCAAGCGUUAUCCGGAUUCAUUGGGUUUAAAGGGUCCGUAGGCGGGUCUUUAAGUCAGUGGUGAAAGCCGACAGCUCAACUGUCGAACUGCCAUUGAUACUGGAGACCUUGAGUACAAAUGAAGUAAGCGGAAUGAGUCAUGUAGCGGUGAAAUGCAUAGAUAUGACUCAGAACACCGAUUGCGAAGGCAGCUUACUAACAUGUAACUGACGCUGAGGGACGAAAGCGUGGGGAGCGAACAGGAUUA